GACGAACGCUGGCGGCGUGCUUAACACAUGCAAGUCGAACGGAAAGGCCCUGCUUUUGUGGGGUGCUCGAGUGGCGAACGUGUGAGUAACACGUGAGUAACCUGCCCUUGACUUUGGGAUAACUUCAGGAAACUGGGGCUAAUACCGGAUAGGAGCUCCUGCUGCAUGGUGGGGGUUGGAAAGUUUCGGCGGUUGGGGAUGGACUCGCGGCUUAUCAGCUUGUUGGUGGGGUAGUGGCUUACCAAGGCUUUGACGGGUAGCCGGCCUGAGAGGGUGACCGGCCACAUUGGGACUGAGAUACGGCCCAGACUCCUACGGGAGGAAGCAGUGGGGAAUAUUGCACAAUGGGCGGAAGCCUGAUGCAGCAACGCCGCGUGAGGGAUGACGGCCUUCGGGUUGUAAACCGAUUUCGCCUGUGACGAAGAGUGAGUGAAGGUAAUGGGUAAAGAAGCACCGGAUAACUACGUG
rnacentral:rRNA from 1 species